AUUAAAACAAAACAUCAACAAUAUUAACUGACUUGGUUUUCUGAUGUUUUUAUUAUUCUGCAGGUUUCAAAAGUGGGCAGAUAACUCGGACUCAAUUUCAUGAAGAUGGGGUCAAUCUUCUUAUUACCUAUGCGAUUGCUCUGUUUGGCUCCAUCUUGAUUGUCAACAGUUUGAUCUGUUUCCUGAUAAGCAUCUCUGCCAAUAUAACCCAUCUGAGAGACAAUCGCUUUGCUACCUUCAACACUUACUCCCCAGGGGAGGAAAUCCACUGUUCCAAGCACUCAGUUGUGGAUACCAAUAUGUAAAUAUAGGAAGGGACACAACUCUCAGUUCAGUUAUCACAGUUAUCCCUAAACAGGACUUGCCAAGCAUAAUACAAAUCAAUAUUCCUCAUGAAUUUCUGCUUCAUCUCAGAUAGCGAAACAUAUAUUUUGAUAGCAUUUUAAAUCAUGUCAUGGAUUAGUUCUCAAUAAGUUCAAUUAGUAUAAUGUGUUGAAGUCGGUUUAAUUGUCCCUUAUAUUUUCUCUGUCAGUUCAUUCUUUACCUCAAAUCAUACUUCAAGUUUAAAUUGUAUUCAAUUUCUUACAAUUUAUUCUUGAAAAUCAUAACAAGUGAAUACAAUUUUGAAUUUUUACUAGAACAUUUUACAAAUUAUAAAUCUGUAUAUUUCUGUAGUAACCAUUUUUUUUUCUGCAAUGUGGAUGUAAUUAUUAGUAUCUUUAUAUUUAGGAAAUAAAACUAUGAGAUUGAUUGAUGAUAUAUGUUGGGCUAUUUUAUUAUGUCCUGUAUCCAAGUCUGAAGUCUUAUACAUAUUUCUACCAGGGGCAGCCAUUUUCAGAUUUAUAAAAAGAAAUAUUUUAUUCAUUCUUAAAUCUUAAUUGUAAAAUGCAAUUUAAUUAUUUUUUUUAACAUUUUAAUUAAACAUUUUUUUUUUAAUUUUUCUUCUUAAAUUAUCUGUCCCUUGAAACAAUUAACUAGCAGCUUAUCUGGCAAGAAGUCUACUUCAUGAUAUGCAAUCUAUAUUUCUCUAGUUCAUAAGCAUCUUGUCAUAUUUUGUUUUACGUGUCUGUAGUUCUUUGUGCUAUGAAUGGUUUGAUAUGGAUGCCUAGUUAUUUAUGAUAUUUUGAGAAUUACAGACAAGAGAUUCAUAGUUUUGUUUGAAUCAUUAAACUCAUUGUUUUUUUGUUUGUUUUUUUGUAAAUAUAUAUUUUUAUACAAUUUGAGUACAAGUAUUAAAGUGUUUUAUUUUUAUAAUUACAUUGUUACUCCUAAACUAAUAUUUUCAUUGGGUACAAAAAUGGCUAUAGUCCUGUGGGUACUAAUUGAAUUUAAUAAUUGCUCCCUCUUUUUAUAGGCAGCUAUUCAUCAACUGCCAUUGUUUUAUAAGAGUAAUAAUUGAGCGCCAUUUCUUUUCACAAAAGCCUUUAUACCUCACUUUACCUUACACUAAGAUACAUCAUAAAAUAAGUUUGUAACCUUUUUUUUUAAACUAGAUGUUUUAAAGUAAUUUGUCUAAAAAUGCUCAGAUUUUUGUCACACUUUUAUAUUUGGAAAAAUGUUUAUUGUUCUUCUCUAUAUUUUUUUACAGUAGUAGAAGAUAUUUCUUUUAUCUGGUGCUUGUUAAAUCUGUAGGUAUCCUGUAUCUGUGCCUAGAAAGAUCAUGAUUUAUCUUUCAUCUUUACUCUUAUGCUUAAUAUUAUGUUACAGCUUCUCAAAUUUUUUUCUCUUGGAUAAUCUUUCAAGUUUGAAACUGUGUAAAAAUAUUAAUUGGCUCUAAAACAUAAGUAAAAGUAUUGACUUUAUAUAAACAGUUCAGUUCAUUGGACAACAUAGGAUGUGAUCAUUUUGUACUUAAGAACUGGCUAGUCUGUUUACAAGAACAUACAUAGUGUUAUGAGAUCACAAGGUGUAAAUGUACAAGUAGAAAGUGCUUAAGUUGUUCCCAAGUAAUGGUAAGCUGGGUUCAAGUUCAUUUUUUGUAUCACCCAAAAGUGGGAGCUUAAGCUUGUCAAAAUAUAGAUUACAAACGCAAUAACUACUUUUGCUCACUAACUAUAGACAUAAAAAAAUAAAUGUAAAAACAUUCUUUGAUGCAUGAUACCCAACAUGCAACUGAGUAUUUUCAGUAUUCAGUUCAGAUUAGUGAAAUAAUUGAAUAAAAAUAUGCUAUGGCCAUAGUGUUCUUUCAGUUCAAUAGGAUUUUGUCCAAAUAAAUGGCUGGUCCUAUACAUCCAAUUUGACUGUACACAUAAAUAUAUGUCAUGGUAGUGAUACAUUUUAAAAUCAAUCAAAAACUCAAUUCACAUCAAAUAUUUCCACUGGUGCUAAAAAAAGGGAGCAGAUCUUUUUUGGAGAAUUAGAAUUUUGAACUCUCCUCUAUUUGUUUUUUUUAUUUUCAAAAUAUUUGUGUGCUCUUUGGACAAAAUGUGUCUGUUAACCUUAAGAUCGAGAAACAUUUUCUGUUUCAAUAGCCAUUUCAAGUUUUUACAUACGCUCAUGUCUUGUCCACCUUUAAUUCUACA
rnacentral:sRNA from 1 species